rnacentral:lncRNA from 1 species
UCUGUUCAAUUUUCUCCAUUUGGGUUUGACCCAAUUUCUGAUUUUGGUCUAACAAUUUUUCUGGUUCAGGUCAGACCCAAGUUUGGUUCAGGUCUGGGUCAAUUACAUAUUGGUUCAGAUCUGACUCAAUUAAUUCUGGGUUUAAGAAUAUUGGGCUCAGACAAGGCCCAGUCCAGCCUCGGGCCUUUAAAGCUCGGUUCAUUUGAAGCCCACCGCCGGAGUCAGGCCCAAUUCGACCCACAUCAAUUUUUAUUUUAUUUUCCUUUCUUCUUUUCUUUUCCCUUUUUUUUUCUUUUUUUUUUUCUUUUCUUUUCUUCGUUUUCUUUUCUUUCUUCUCCUCCCUUCUCGAACCUUCUUCUCCUUUCUUCUUCCCUUCCCGAUCCCCUCCUCCUCCUCUUCUCCUCUCCUCCCAUGAGGCAAGGGGGUUGAGCUCGGGAGAAGGUCAACCUGAAGCCGGCGGUGCUGCGGGCAACCAGCGGCGCCUGCGGCGGCCGUGGUCCGACCGGCAGCAGCCGCGGCCCGGCUGG